GCACUGCUGAGGAGUCCCACACUGGGACGAAACGGCUGUCUGGUGC
rfam:Schistosoma haematobium scaffold1077_1, whole genome shotgun sequence.